AUUGAACGCUGGCGGCAGGCCUAACACAUGCAAGUCGGACGGUAGCACAGAGGAGCUUGCUCCUCGGGUGACGAGCGGCGGACGGGUGAGUAAUGUCUGGGGAUCUGCCCGAUAGAGGGGGAUAACCACUGGAAACGGUGGCUAAUACCGCAUAACGUCGCAAGAACAAAGAGGGGGACCCUCGGGCCUCUCACUAUCGGAUGAACCCAGAGGGGAUUAGCUAGUUAGCGGGGUAACGGCCCACCUAGGCGACGAUCCCUAGCUGGUCUGCGAGGCUGACCCGCCACACGGGAUCAGGGACACGGUCCAGACUCCUACGGGAGGCGGCAGUGGGGAAGAUUGCACAAUGGGCGCAAGCCUGAUGCGGCCAUGCCGCGUGUAUGAAGAAGGCAUACGGGUUGUAAAGUACUUUCAGCGGGGAGAAAGGCGGUAAGGUUAAUAACCUUGUCGAUUGACGUUACCCGCAGAAGAAGCACCGGCUAACUCCGUGCCAGCAGCCGCCGUAA
rnacentral:rRNA from 1 species